GUUAAGCGACUAAGCGUACACGGUGGAUGCCCUGGCAGUCAGAGGCGAUGAAGGACGUGCUAAUCUGCGAUAAGCGUCGGUAAGGUGAUAUGAACCGUUAUAACCGGCGAUUUCCGAAUGGGGAAACCCAGUGUGUUUCGACACACUAUCAUUAACUGAAUCCAUAGGUUAAUGAGGCGAACCGGGGGAACUGAAACAUCUAAGUACCCCGAGGAAAAGAAAUCAACCGAGAUUCCCCCAGUAGCGGCGAGCGAACGGGGAGCAGCCCAGAGCCUGAAUCAGUGUGUGUGUUAGUGGAAGCGUCUGGAAAGGCGCGCGAUACAGGGUGACAGCCCCGUACACAAAAAUGCACAUGCUGUGAGCUCGAUGAGUAGGGCGGGACACGUGGUAUCCUGUCUGAAUAUGGGGGGACCAUCCUCCAAGGCUAAAUACUCCUGACUGACCGAUAGUGAACCAGUACCGUGAGGGAAAGGCGAAAAGAACCCCGGCGAGGGGAGUGAAAAAGAACCUGAAACCGUGUACGUACAAGCAGUGGGAGCACGCUUAGGCGUGUGACUGCGUACCUUUUGUAUAAUGGGUCAGCGACUUAUAUUCUGUAGCAAGGUUAACCGAAUAGGGGAGCCGAAGGGAAACCGAGUCUUAACUGGGCGUUAAGUUGCAGGGUAUAGACCCGAAACCCGGUGAUCUAGCCAUGGGCAGGUUGAAGGUUGGGUAACACUAACUGGAGGACCGAACCGACUAAUGUUGAAAAAUUAGCGGAUGACUUGUGGCUGGGGGUGAAAGGCCAAUCAAACCGGGAGAUAGCUGGUUCUCCCCGAAAGCUAUUUAGGUAGCGCCUCGUGAAUUCAUCUCCGGGGGUAGAGCACUGUUUCGGCAAGGGGGUCAUCCCGACUUACCAACCCGAUGCAAACUGCGAAUACCGGAGAAUGUUAUCACGGGAGACACACGGCGGGUGCUAACGUCCGUCGUGAAGAGGGAAACAACCCAGACCGCCAGCUAAGGUCCCAAAGUCAUGGUUAAGUGGGAAACGAUGUGGGAAGGCCCAGACAGCCAGGAUGUUGGCUUAGAAGCAGCCAUCAUUUAAAGAAAGCGUAAUAGCUCACUGGUCGAGUCGGCCUGCGCGGAAGAUGUAACGGGGCUAAACCAUGCACCGAAGCUGCGGCAGCGACACUAUGUGUUGUUGGGUAGGGGAGCGUUCUGUAAGCCUGUGAAGGUGUGCUGUGAGGCAUGCUGGAGGUAUCAGAAGUGCGAAUGCUGACAUAAGUAACGAUAAAGCGGGUGAAAAGCCCGCUCGCCGGAAGACCAAGGGUUCCUGUCCAACGUUAAUCGGGGCAGGGUGAGUCGACCCCUAAGGCGAGGCCGAAAGGCGUAGUCGAUGGGAAACAGGUUAAUAUUCCUGUACUUGGUGUUACUGCGAAGGGGGGACGGAGAAGGCUAUGUUGGCCGGGCGACGGUUGUCCCGGUUUAAGCGUGUAGGCUGGUUUUCCAGGCAAAUCCGGAAAAUCAAGGCUGAGGCGUGAUGACGAGGCACUACGGUGCUGAAGCAACAAAUGCCCUGCUUCCAGGAAAAGCCUCUAAGCAUCAGGUAACAUCAAAUCGUACCCCAAACCGACACAGGUGGUCAGGUAGAGAAUACCAAGGCGCUUGAGAGAACUCGGGUGAAGGAACUAGGCAAAAUGGUGCCGUAACUUCGGGAGAAGGCACGCUGAUAUGUAGGUGAAGUCCCUUGCGGAUGGAGCUGAAAUCAGUCGAAGAUACCAGCUGGCUGCAACUGUUUAUUAAAAACACAGCACUGUGCAAACACGAAAGUGGACGUAUACGGUGUGACGCCUGCCCGGUGCCGGAAGGUUAAUUGAUGGGGUCAGCGCAAGCGAAGCUCUUGAUCGAAGCCCCGGUAAACGGCGGCCGUAACUAUAACGGUCCUAAGGUAGCGAAAUUCCUUGUCGGGUAAGUUCCGACCUGCACGAAUGGCGUAAUGAUGGCCAGGCUGUCUCCACCCGAGACUCAGUGAAAUUGAACUCGCUGUGAAGAUGCAGUGUACCCGCGGCAAGACGGAAAGACCCCGUGAACCUUUACUAUAGCUUGACACUGAACAUUGAGCCUUGAUGUGUAGGAUAGGUGGGAGGCUUUGAAGUGUGGACGCCAGUCUGCAUGGAGCCGACCUUGAAAUACCACCCUUUAAUGUUUGAUGUUCUAACGUGGACCCGU
rnacentral:rRNA from 1 species